UCAGAAAAUUUGCUUGAUUCUUCCUGGCAAGUGGGACAGGUAGCGGGGAAGGUAGGAGAGCGAUGAGAGCGCCCGGAAGGGACAAGCAUUCGGGGAGACUGAAGCGGAGCGCAGGCACCGCAGAGGGCGAUGACGACCCGAGAAGAUGCCGAACGCAGGCCAGGAGGGGGCUCUGGGGAAAAGCAAAGGCAGGGGAGGUUGCCCAUCGGGGAGCCUCGCGUCCCUGGGCCCUCCGUACUCUGCACAUAUGCAGAGGCCCCCACCCGUCCUGUAACCGCAAACUGCUUGGCGUGACUUGGCCAGCGGAGGGAGGAGCCCAGGCUGCAGGACAAGCAGGAGUCAGGGUCCCUGCAGUUGCUGGGGAAAGUGGACUCUUCUGGUAGCUGCUUUUACAGCCCCUGCCCUCAGAGGCCCCCCAGGUGGGAAGGGCCUGCCUCCUAGGCAGUGGGUGCUCACCGAGGACUGACUUUGAACCCGGGGCAAGGGAGCCCCAGAAGGCUGGAGGCCUGCACACGGCACUGGAAGAAACAAACUGCAAAGGCUGUCCCUCAGGGCUAUCCCCACAGCCACCGGAAUGCGGCCUGGAAUAUCCAAACCUGUCAGCCCACCUGCACCCAGCCAGACAGCGACCAUUCUAGCUGCUUCCCCGGAGGCCUGCUGACCCAGAGAGGUGUCAAAAAGCUGAAGCACAACAGAGACAGACCUCCCACAGACUCAGCAGGGAGUUGGAGGACAGUCGGCACACCAGCAGCUGUAGCCCAUCCCCCCCUCUCCCCAUUCACCUGGUAUGCAGCACUUCAGGGCUUGCUGAAGCCCCAGCAAAGCAGUGGCCCACCUGAGAGCUUGGAAACACACCUAUGCCCCAGACUACCGCGAUCGCAGUCUCCAGUCAGCCCUGGCCACCACAGUGAACUGCCUAAGUGCCCCAGAUGACUGAGUCACAAGCCAGGGCUGGGAGGCACUGCAUGAAAGGCGGCCUUCUCUAGACAAGGCUGGACACACCCCUGCAAGGCCUGUCUCCUAGGAGCUGGGAUGAAACUCUGGACGAUGUGCUGGGAACAAAGAAAACCCACAUGGUAAAGGCUUGCUUUUCCUUGGGAAUCUGCAAUGCUUACAGAACGGGAAAGGCUGAAAGCCGCCCACAGCGCCGCACCUGGGCCUGAGGGCUGGCGUACCCACCCUCUACCGGAGGAAACAAGACCCAUGACCAGACUCAAAACCACCUCACACCCUCACAAUCCUUACAGAAUAUUCAAAGACUGGCACUUCAACCUUACAACCUGAACACGUCUAAAUGCCUAACACAAUACCAAGCACACUGUAUACCACACUUUUAAAAGGUAGAGAUCUUAAAAAAACAAAAAACACUACCUUGGGUAUGAAGACAGAUUUUAUGCCAGUCAUUUCCAGAGGGGCUGUCUGCUGUGGCACAGCACCACCUGGUGGGUGCUAUACCUUGUUGCACCCAUUUUGGGACCUGUUUGAAUGGCAUGCCCCACCAUCGCUCCCACAUCUGCCAGUUAUGUUUAACCCCACGUGCUAUUUCCAUCAUGGCCUUCCCACAUCUUAUUUUCAAACGGGCUGAAAACAGAUGGCCUCAUUCGCUGACUGAGAUCAUGCUCAAGAUUAGGGAUGC
rnacentral:lncRNA from 1 species